rnacentral:lncRNA from 1 species
GGAGGGAAAAUGUAAAUAAAUUUUGUGCAUGUGCAACGUUCUGGUGGAGGAUUUCAUUACAAUUUGGAAUAACUUGUAAAUAUGUUAACAUUUUUAAAAACUAAUCGGUUAAGGGAACACAGCUAGCUGUGUGUGCUCCAACGUUGGAGGGAUUUACUUAAAGAAGAAGAAGAAUGCAGACAACAAGCUGGGUUAUUUUACGAUUUUUGUUCAUUUUUUCUUCUUCUUCUUCUUCUUUCAGUACAGAGUCGGACUCUUCUUGAGUGUAUAAAUGACUCUUGCUCGUGAAAUCAUGAGGCCUUCCCUCCUCACUUAAUAAAAACUAUUAUCAGGAAAAUUAUUUACAAAUAAAACUAUGUACAUCUGGGGUCAAAGGAGAUCUAGGUGUGUGAAGCUCCUGUCAAGGCCUCUGGCAGGAUGGUAAGGCUGGCCUUGAACUCUUCUAGUGUAGCUGCUGUUGUGGCUUUUUCCGGUAGAGUGUUCCAUUCCCUGGUUGAUCUUGGGAAGAAGGAGUAACUGUAUUGGUCUUUUAGAGUGCGCUGUUGGUGUAUGCGGUGGCCUCCUCUGGUCCUUGAAUCUCCGGGUUUGUAAUUAUUAGAGGGGUCAAUAUCCACCAAAUCUAUUGCGGAUCUUGUAUGCCAUGGUGAGUCGGUCUUUGCAGCGGCGAUUUUUAAGAGGCUCCCAUUUUAGUCUCUCCAUUAAGGAGCUGACACAACCUGGGGAUACGUCUUGGUAUUCAUUGUACACGAACCUAGCUGCCCUUCUCUGUACUUGUUCUAGGUCUUUUUCAAGGUUAUGUUGGUAAUGGUCCCAUACAGUGGAGGCGUAUUCCAGGGUUGGUCUGACCAUGAUGAUGUAGGCGUUAGCUUGACUUCUGGUUUACACCGUCCUAGGUUCCUUCUCAGAAAGCCUAGUGUCCUUGAUGCUUUGCCUACCGUCUGGUUGAUAUGUGUCUUCCACUGUAGGUCAUGAUUUAUGGUGACUCCCAGGUAUUUCCCAUGCUCGACUGCAUCUAGUGUGUGACCAUGUAGUUUUUAUAUUCAAGCAUAAUUGGAAAUGAAUAAGUUUUGUCACAGUGAUGUUAGCCUACACUUUUAUAUUUUUAUAUACAUGCAUGUAUGGCUAAGGCAGCAACCAUUCUAUUUUUUUGGCGACAAGUAGAAAACAAUUUUUUUCUUUCAAUUUUAGCAUUACAUAAAGUGGCAGCUGAGGUAGUCCAAAUAAUUAUGACGUCUGGCAAGGCAAUUUUUUUUUUCUUUCUGGGAUGUACAUUUUAGGAAGGCAUCCCAGAAAAAAAAUAAAAUAGUCCCAGAAAAAAAAUAAAAUAGCCUUGCCAGACGUCAUAAUUGUUUUAACUACAGCUGAGGGUGAAACAAACAAUUUUUUUUUCUCAGGGUCAAAAACAAAUUAUUUUUUUCUCCAAAAACUGGCAACAAAAAUCAGCAGUCCCCCCCGAAAAUCAAUUGGUUGCUGCCUAAGUUGGUGUGAUGUGCUCAUAUUUUGAAAAUAUUGUCUGAACAAUGGAACUGUGUCUGUAGAUAGUGUAGUUGACUUUGCUUGCUGUAGCAUAUUUAUUCAUAUAAUUUUUUAGAGUUAUUGUUAUAAAAUUAUAGCAUGAAAGAUUUCCUAGGCAAUUGUGACAACUGCAGUGACGACAGAUAUUUUUAAAGUGCUUUCAUUGGAAAAAGAGACAUGUAUAAUUAUUUGUCAGAAAUUUCUUUACAAUUACUUAAAUCUGACAUUCCAUUGUACACCACCGGUCCUACUAAAAAGCGCCCGGGAGAAUACAAUAAAUAAUAUUUUAUAACAAUAAAUUUUUUCCUAAAAAAAAAUAAUCAUUGAUUGUUUUGUCCUUAAUUUAAAUGGGGUUAUGUACGAUGCUACAUUUUUACAUCUAAAGUCUUGUUGCAUUUUUACAUUUUAGAUUUCAAAAUUGUAUAUAAGUAAGUCAAUAAAUAUAAAUAAGUAUAUAUAUAUAUAUAUAUAUAGAAGAAUCAUGAUUGAUAUUGUCCUCGAUUAAAACGUAUAUUUUGUUAUUUAAAAAUAAAUCUUCAGCAUAAACUGUGAUCCAUUAUUAUCUGUCUUUGAAAUAGUAUUCAUAUAUUAUUGUUAAAAUUGAAACCUUCAUACAUGUUUUUGUGCUUUAAUACAAAUGUAUAAUAUCAAAAAUUGCAAAUUACUUGUCUAAAAUUAAAGAAAAAAAUCAAUAUGCAAUACUUAUUUCAACGACACAAAGUUGUCUCAUGCCAAUAAAUUAUCUAUAAAUUUUCCCCGGGCGCCUUUUCUUUUCUCCGGGCGCUAUUUUUUCUUCCCUGGGCACUUUUUCUUUUCCCCAGGCGUUGUUUCUUUUCCCCGGGAGCUGUUUCUUCACCUGGGCGCAUUUUAGUAGGACCCUACACCACAACUGAGGAUCUGUGAAAUAAUCAUAGAAAUGUUAUCAUCGAAACAACUUACAACAAAUAUCGAAGGAAACAUUGUGGUGUGCCUUCAGUAAAUGUAAUUUUGAAGUACCAUUUUAAAUCUGAUAAUACUACAAAAGCAGGGGUUCAACAUGUUGUACCCGAGAUGUUUCAAAGAAUUGUUACAACUUUAGACAGACAGUUUUAUUCCUAUUGGAAUAAGUAAGUAGAUAGUAGUUACCUAAUAACAUUUUUCUGUGAAAAAGAUACAGUGAUCAUAAAAGCUCUUAUAAGACCAAAAAGUAAACGUUCACGCCCAUUCACGUUCUCACCCAUUCACAAUGGCACCCUUUCACUUUCGCACCAUACACGUUUGCGCCCAUCUUUUAUUGGUUUUGUGUUUAAUAACUUUGUAAUCAAGUUUUGGCAAGUGUAUAAUAUAUUUGUUGUCAUUGUCCUAAAUUAAAGUGAGACAACAUGUUUUUUUGUGUUGAAUAAAUCUUAAUCUUGUUUUGGUUAAGUGUAUUGCUAACUUUUAUUUCAUUGUUUCAAAAUAAAGAGUGACUAUGACAACAUAUUUUUUUGUGUUGAAUAAAUUUUAAUCAUGUUUUGGUAAGUGCAUUGCUAUGAUUUUUUGUUUCAUUGUUUCAGAUCAAAUUAAAGGGCCUAUAAGCUGUUUAAUAAAAUCUUUUGUGUUUUUCAUUUAAAAUCUUCAAUGUAUUUACUCAUACCAAGCUAAAUACAUGCAGUAUUUUCAUCAAAUCAAUUAAAAACAACAAUCUUGAUUUUCUAAUUAUCCAACUGAAAUUUUAUUUAAAAUUUGGUGCGAAUGUGCGAGGUGCAAACGUGAAGGAAGCGAAAGUGUAUUGGGCGCCAACAAACCUGAUACCCUGUCAGGUACCCCCCCCUCCCCCCCAAAAAAAAAAUAAUAAAAAAUAUAUAAUGAAACAAACAAAAAAACAAAAGCAACAAAGAAACAACAAAAAAAACUUUUCUUUAAUCCCCCUUUUUUAAACUAUUAAACAUUAAAUUACAUGAACCUAUUUUAAUCUUGUUUUUGAGAGACAAAAAUUAUAACAUGAAUGCUGUUUCAUGUCUCCUUUCCUUUACCAGAUUUGUAAGGUUUUGUACAUGAUAAUCACAUCAUUUCAUGCAAGUCCUUAUGAAAUAAAAAAUGUUGCGGCAAGAAUGCUGCACUGUUGUGGCUUAUAAACCGCAACCUGGUGAGGUUGUCAGAACAUUGCUGCCGUAGUAGUGCUGAAUGAUGCCAGUACUGACAUCAUUCUGGCUUCAUUGCAGCGCUAUUUCCAUUCAUGACAAAAAGCGGUGCAAUGUUGCCAUAAAGCAAACAUAUACUUUUCUCAUUUCUCAUUCUAAAUAUACUAGAAUGAUGCCAGAAUAGAUCCAGAUCAUUGAUGAUGUCACCAUAUGUUGCUUGAGCUUAUGAUUUUAGUGAAGAAUGGGGUGUUCAAUUAUUGUUAAGACUUGAACAUGUAUGUAAAUGUAGAUUAACAUGAUUAAGUAAAUGCAUUAUAUAAAAGUUCAAUCUCUGAUCAAUGAAAUUGUCAUAUCCUGAUAGACCUGGAGAGCAUUUUCAAAAAAUCGUAAUUUACUCCAGGGACGAACUAUCAUGUAAUGGGGCGAAUUGGUCCCUUCUGAAACAUUAGUUGUCGUUUCCCUUCCCUUUCUCAAUUUAACCCUCGCUAAAUUUUACUGAGCAUGCAGAAAGAGGUUUGGUCAAUUGUGUCUUUGUUACCCUCUAAAGUCAGCUAGCUUGAAAGUGCUAUUUGUUUGAAAAAAAAAUGAAGUACAAAAAUGUAUAAUCACAAAUUUAGAUUGCUAAUCAGACAAAACACAACACCUUUGACUGAAGUGAGGGGUCUCCUGUUGGCGUCAUGGAAAUUAUGUUGUUGUUAUUGAAGGUAUUGAUGUUGCAUGUUGACAGUUCACGAGUUACACAUUUUAACUCUCCUUUUUUUUAAUGUGGAAAAAUUAAGUGCAUUACAUAUAGGAAUAACCUCUGAGGAUAGAACUUUACUUUCUUUAAAAAAAAAAGUUAUUAUAAUAACCCUGAGUGCACAAAAAAAUUCAUGAUUUUAAUUAAAGGAGUUCAAACCUUUUCUCGGGUAAACUCAGCACUAUACAUACAUACAUGUAUGUACCUGGUUAGACAUUACUUUACCUUUUUUAAUAGUCACUAAUUUAAGGAAGUCAGAAUUUAAAGGCAUAAGUGCCGCAAUAGUGCCCACAAACUAAUUUGCAUACAUAAUAAACAAUAUCUGCAUUGAACCCACAACAUGUUGGGGCAAAGAAGCAGCAUUUUCUGGCAAUGGUGCCUGAUAAUAAUUUUCAUACUAAAUAUGUUAUUGCAGCAUCGUUGUUUAAAAGACAAAUGUAUCUACUAGCUAUUUGAACAUCAGUUAAUGAUCUUGUCUGCAUUGAUUCAACUUAAACUAUUGUCUUGAUCGGUUGUCAGGUGGAAUUUUUGAAAAUUCUUGAAAAUUUUUAAAAAAUCUGAUUAAAUAUUUUGUGGAAGGGCAGACUAAAAAUUUCAGUGGUUGAGGAUUAUAAAUCCUAGUUAUCACACACAAAAACCUAUAUUUUUUCGAAGAUAUGCAUUUUCAUCAUCCAACUUAAAAGACUGUCGUCAAGUACUUUUAAAUUAGAAAAAAUAGCUAUUCGAACUACUCUGUUUUUGUGAUUCAUUAUAUAGGUAGUUCACUUGACCCAUAUAUUUUAUCUUUUCGUAAUGUGAUUGUUUUAUGUUCAGUUAUAAAGUCAACCUGUAGCUUUGAUACAUGUAUAUAAAGUGAUAGAAUUUGAAGCGAGAUGAUACAUGUAUAUCAAAUACUCUUGCUUGGUACGUUUUAAAGACAAAAUUACACCUCAAACACGCCGUAAUAUAAAAAGGUGCACUCGAUUUUCUCUUUUCGAUGCAAUUGUUACCCAUUUUUUGAUUUUUUUCUCGAUUCACACAAUGGAAGGGCAGACAAAAAAAAUUACUGAACUUAUACAUUGUAAUAGAUUGAUAUGUUCUCCGUCCGUGGUACAUGUAAUUUUUUUUUAUGCCCCACCUACGAUAGUAGAGGGGCAUUAUGUUUUCUGGUCUGUGCGUCCGUUCGUUCGUCGUCUUUCGUUCCCGACUGUCCCGCUUCAGGUUAAAGUUUUUGGUCGAGGUAGUUUUUGAUGAAGUUGAAGUCCAAUCGACUUCAAACUUGGUACACAUGUUCCCUAUGAUAUGAUCUUUCUAAUUUUAAUGCCAAAUUAGAGAUUUUACCCCAAUUUCACGGUCCACUGAACAUAGAAAAUGAUAGUGCGAGUGGGGCAUUCGUGUACUGAGGACACAUUCUUGUUUAAAUCAGAGGUUAUGCAUGCCAUUUUCUACAUCCAACUUGAUAGAUACCCAUGUCGUCGACUUGAUAUAUAAUUGUUCUGCAUUAUACUAUGUAAUAGAUAAAUUGAAAACUUAUGCAAAUGGUGUUUUUAAAAUAAAACACUUUGUAAUUGAGAAGAAAAUUGUUGUUUUAUUUGCUCUCUUUAACUUUUAAAAUUUUUGUUACUAUAGUAAUCAUUACAAUAAGCAUUUAUCGCCCUCUCUAACAAAGAGUUUCGAUUCUUUUGUUCUAUAUCAACUGGGUUUCUGCCUGUGUUUACUUGAGAUAGGUUUUAAAAUUCAUGUUUUUAUGUACAUACAAGUAGAAAUAGUAAAUAGUUUUGAUAGUGAUACACAGAAUGAGAUCAAUUGUGUAUCUAUUUUCUAAUUUUUAUUUUAUAUUACAGCAAUUUGUAGACUGUGUAGAGAAAAACUACUUGGAAUUAACAGUAUUGAACAUGUUGAGGAGGUAUGUCUUUUCAUAUACAUGUAAAUAUAUAAUUCCCUGUAUACUGGUACACAUAAAAUUGAGAAUGGAAAUGGGUAAUGUGCCAAAGAGACAACAACCCGACCAUAGAAAAAAACAACAGCAGAAGGUCACCAACAGGUCUUCAAUGUAGCGAGAAAUUUACGCACCCGGAGGCGUCCUUCAACUGGCCCCUAAACAAAUAUAUACUAGUUCAGUGAUAAUGAACGCCAUACUAAUUUCCAAAUUGAUCACAAGAAACUAAAAUUAAAAAUAAUACAAGACUAACAAAGGCCAGAGGCUCCUGACUUGGGACAGGCGCAAAAAUGUGGCGGGGUUAAACAUGUUUGUGAGAUCUCAACCCCCCCCCUAUACCUCUAGCCAAUGUAGAAAAGUAAACGCAUAACAAUACGCACAUUAAAAUUCAGUUCAAGAGAAGUCCGAGUCUGAUGUCAGAAGAUGUAACCAAAGAAAAUAAACAAAAUGACAAUAAUACAUAAAUAACAACAGACUACUAGCAGUUAACUGACAUGCCAGCUCCAGACUUCAAUUAAACUGACUGAAAGAUUAUGAUUUCAUCAUAUGAACAUCAGGCACAAUCCUUCCCGUUAGGGGUUUAGUAUCAUACCAUCAUAACAUAUAUGAGAAGAACAUAACCCGUGUCAUGCCAACAACUGUAUACUCAAUAGUCAAUAGUGAGUUUAUUAAAUACAUGUCAAACUUUUGUACUCAAGGUAGUUUUACUAUGCAGUGGUGGAUCCAGCCAUUUGAAAAAGGGGAGGUUCCCAACCCAGGACAAAGGGGGGGGGUCCAACUAUAUGUCCCCAUUCAAAUGCAUUGAUCGUCCAAAAAAAGGGGGUGUUCCAACCCCGAAACCCUCCCCCUGGAUCCGCCACUGCUAUUACAAGAAUAAGAAGGUCUUUCAAUUAAAAAAUAACAUAAAAUUAAAAGUUCCAAUUUGGUCUUCAUAUUCGCUUACCUUUAGCACAUUUUAUUUGCAAUUUGAAUUGGUAAUCUGGUUUUAUCAUUUAAGCAUUAGUUAAAAUCUAUUAAAAUAAAAAACAAGGUUUAAAUUUAUCUAAUUUAUACUUAGGGCCAAUAGCGGUUAAACCAUCCAUUCAUGCAUGCAUGAUUGAGGGGAAGGGUAAAUUUCUAAAUCAUAUGUGUAUAAAACAUAUUACAUCAACUGAACCCUAACCCAUUCACGUAUUACUAACUCCUCUAGUUUUUUUCUUUCAAUAUUAUCAUGUGUAUUCCAGAAUUUAUUAUUGUUUCACUUUCAAUUAGUACCUUGUUUAAAAUAUUCUUAAAAAGUUUUUCUUUUCUUUUAAUUUAGAAGAACACUUUUGAAGACAAAUACAAAGAUUGCAGAAGGGUAGGUAUAACUGUAUAUAAAAAGUCAUACAAUUUAUAAAAUGUCUCCUAAACUUGACUUUUUAAGAUAUCUUGUAAAAGUAUUAAGAUAUCUUGUAAAAGUAUUAAGAUAUCUUGUAUAAUAUAUUUUAUAUCGUUCAUAAACUUUACAAGAUAUAUCUCAUAAACUUCAGAAGAUAUAAGAUUUUCAAGAUAUCCAAUUAGGAGAUAAUUGUAUUGAAUUUGAAGAUUUGGAGCCAUCAAUCAUGGAUUUGAUGGUUGCAAAUUGAGUUAACUGGCGAUGUGCAUACGGAGCCAGUAAUCAGAUAUUUGUGACCAUCAAAUAAAAAAACAGGGAUAUAACUAGUGAGCAAUGUUUUAUAUUGUUUCUAUCAGAAUUCAUUAAGUAUCCAAUCUUUUGUAGGCACUUGAUUAAGUACCAGGGAAACCUUAAAGUGUGGACACAAUCCUUGAUUUAGAUGUCACCAAGAAUAAAGAAGCAAUCACCAAUAUUACAAGUUUUACACAACUUGAGAUUUGAGAGCAGUCAUUUGAGGAUGUGGCAGGCAUAUAAUAUUGGUGAAGGUAUAACAUUUAUAUUUAACAUAAAAAAAAACAGAAAUCAGAUUACAAAUAACAUGUAGUUUUAUACAUAACACAAUCACUGAAAAUACAGGG